ACCAGGCAGCCCCGCGGCAAGUCCUUCUGCUAGGGGUGCUCCCUCCUCCCGCCCUGCGCGCCAUAAGGCUGUAGCACGUCUCCAGGACACAGCUGCGUGAGGAUGGGCGGACGGCAGAAAGGAGCUUGUUUUCAAAAGUCUUACUCGGGUUUAGAAGGAGGAAUUAGGAGAAAAGAGGAAACUAGGCCUGCCUUUGUCAGGAUUCGAGGGGCCAAGUGGCUGGAGGGGCGACAGGUCAGCACAACGUGCUGCGCGAGCCCCCCAACUCGCCCGAGCCUCAGACCCUCAGGCUAGACUCAUGAUCUUCCCGCCCGCGAGCCCCUGCUCCCCCACGACCGGGCCUAAAUGGGAAGUUAGCUAAGGGUUUUCCAUCCCAGACCCUAGGGUCUCUCGAAUGGGUCAACUUGCAGGCGACACGAGUGUGUGAAAGCGAGAGGGAGACAAAAAUAAACAGUAGCUUUCGAGUCACUUCCCCUUGCAGCGGGCUCACGCCUAGCCUCCCUGUUCCCACCGGUGUGUAAGUUUCCUCCUGCCACACUCCCCGCCGCUGCCCAAUCCAUAACGGCUACGACCAGACGAACUGCCCAUCCCAGAGCUGCGUGCCAGCCGUGCCCGCAAGAAUGUAGCCUGGGUCGGUCCCCACAGCGGCACUAGCUCUGGGCAGCUCGGGUUCUGAUAAAGUUUCUCGUGCUCAUUUAUUAACCAAGCGCCGAAUGGCUGCCAGGGAGCCCACCCCAGGAGAAGCGGGGACCAGAAAGGUGGAGUGUCUGCUGCCGAUGAGACGUCAGGGUGCCAAGGCUGGCAUCUGGGGAGGGAGCCGGGGGCCAGAACGGGACGCAGCCUGCGGGCAACUUACAUUAGCGACGCUCGUGGUUGGGGAGGCGCGAGGAUUAUCUGAGUAUUUGCACACUCUACAAUCCCUCCUCCUUUCUCUAAGGUAACCUCCCCCCCCCUUUCCGCGAGGAAGAAGGGAGAAAAGACAGCAUCUGGCCCAAAGAGAAACGAAGACGCGCUUUAAACUCGAGCCAUCUCCCAACUCCGCAGCAGUAGGGUCCCCACGCGCUCUCCCCGGGGGCCUCGGGCUACAUUGAUCAGAAACUAUACCGGACUCGCGAAGCCCCAAAACUUAUUGUGAGGCAGCCCAUCUUCUCCUCCCCUCGAUCAUCUUUUCCAUCCAGAUGCGAGUCGUGGGAGCUGAGAGCUCGGACGAGGGUGAGAUCGCCGCCUUCCCUCCGACCCGAACGCGUGCGCCCCGCCGGCCCCCCGCUGGGUGCACACUCGCACGCACACCCUCGCACCCGUACCCGCACACGCGGGAGCACACGCACAGGUAGUCAGUCACACACCAAGGGCAGCAGCGACGGCGGACGAAACAUGCUCCGAUGGCAUUGCAACCCCCCCUCCGCCAUCCAACCUUGCAAUUCAUUUGCAGUCAGACCCCAACCCCCCCCCCCCCCGGAGCCUCCGGUCCAUGAAAAAGUGCCUUCCCCCCAAAACACACACGCACACAUAACACAAAGUAGGAGAAUGGACCGACAGAGAUAUUUUUGGCAAAUGCUCACAUCAGAGGGCGUCCUGUUCCGCAGCUCUAAAUAAAUCCGUUUGUCCAUCUCCA